UUAAAUUUGGGGAAAUGACACUCUCUAAUUGUUUUAUAUUUUUGACAUUUUGUCAGGAAAUGCAGCUCUGUCUCAGGUUCUGCUGUUGUGCAGUGGUUACACAGCCUUUCCUCUACAGGGAGCCAGGUUUUCCUGUGUCUACCCUUCUCAACGGCAAGGCUGUUCUCACUGAGCCUGUACAUUGUCAAGGUUUUUCUAAGAUUUUGAUCAGUAACCAUGUCAAAUAGUUUGCCACGGUGUUCUGUCGAUUUAGGGCCAGGUAGCACUGCAUUUGGCUUUGUGCUUGUUCUUGUGUUUCCCAAAAAGCAAUUUAGUUUUGUUUUUGUAAUUUGUUUUAUUCUGAUUGAUUGGAUGUUCUGGUCCUGAGGCAUCAGCAUGUUAGUAGAACAGGUUAGUGAACUCAGAACCAGCUGGAUGAGGGGACCGAGGCUUCAGUGUGUUAGUAGAACAGGUUAGUGAACUCAGCCCCAGGACCAGCUGGAUGAGGGGACUGAGGCUUCAGUGUGUUAGUAGAACAGGUUAGUGAACUCAGCCCCAGGACCAGCUGGAUGAGGGGACUGAGGCUUCAGUGUGUUAGUAGAACAGGUUAGUGAACUCAGCCCCAGGACCAGCUGGAUGAGGGGACUGAGGCUUCAGUGUGUUAGUAGAACAGGUUUGUGAACUCAGGACCAGCUGGAUGAGGGGACUGAGGCUUCAGUGUGUUAGUAGAACAGGUUAGUGAACUCAGCCCCAGGACCAGCUGGAUGAGGGGACUGAGGCUUCAGUGUGUUAGUAGAACAGGUUAGUGAACUCAGGACCAGCUGGAUGAGGGGACUGAGGCUUCAGUGUGUUAGUAGAACAGGUUAGUGAACUCAGCCCCAGGACCAGCUGGAUUAGGGGACUGAGGCUUCAGUGUGUUAGGAGAACAGGUUAGUGAACUCAGGACCAGCUGGAUGAGGGGACUGAGGCUUCAGUGUGUUAGUAGAACAGGUUAGUGAACUCAGCCCCAGGACCAGCUGGAUGAGGGGACUGAGGCUUCAGUGUGUUAGUAGAACAGGUUAGUGAACUCAGCCCCAGGACCAGCUGGAUGAGGGGACUGAGGCUUCAGUGUGUUAGUAGAACAGGUUUGUGAACUCAGGACCAGCUGGAUGAGGGGACUGAGGCUUCAGUGUGUUAGUAGAACAGGUUAGUGAACUCAGGACCAGCUGGAUGAGGGGACUGAGGCUUCAGUGUGUUAGUAGAACAGGUUAGUGAACUCAGGACCAGCUGGAUGAGGGGACUGAGGCUUCAGUGUGUUAGUAGAACAGGUUAGUGAACUCAGCCCCAGGACCAGCUGGAUGAGGGGACUGAGGCUUCAGUGUGUUAGUAGAACAGGUUUGUGAACUCAGCCCCAGGACCAGCUGGAUGAGGGGAC